rnacentral:rRNA from 1 species
GGAAUAUUGCGCAAUGGGCGAAAGCCUGACGCAGCAACGCCGCGUGCGGGAUGAAGGCCUUCGGGUUGUAAACCGCUUUCAGCAGGGAAGAAGCGAAAGUGACGGUACCUGCAGAAGAAGCACCGGCUAACUACGUGCCAGCAGCCGCGGUAAUACGUAGGGUGCAAGCGUUGUCCGGAUUUAUUGGGCGUAAAGAGCUCGUAGGCGGUUAGUCACGUCGGAUGUGAAAACCCGGAGCUUAACUCCGGGCCUGCAUUCGAUACGGGCUGACUCGAGUGUUGUAGGGGAGACUGGAACUCCUGGUGUAGCGGUGAAAUGCGCAGAUAUCAGGAAGAACACCGGUGGCGAAGGCGGGUCUCUGGGCAACUACUGACGCUGAGGAGCGAAAGCGUGGGGAGCAAACAGGAUUAGAUACCCUGGUAGUCCACGCCGUAAACGGUGGGCGCUAGGUGAGGGGAACAUUCCACGCUCUCCGUGCCGCAGCUAACGCAUUAAGCGCCCCGCCUGGGGAGUACGGCCGCAAGGCUAAAACUCAAAGGAAUUGACGG